GACGAACGCUGGCGGCGUGCCUAAUACAUGCAAGUCGAACGCAGUGGGGACGGGUGAGUAACACGUGGGUAACCUCCCAUCAGAGGGGAUAACACUUGGAAACAGGUGCUAAACCGAUACUGAUGGAUGGCCCCGCGGUGCAUUAGCUAGUUGGUGAGGUAACGGCGCACCAAGGCCACGAGGCCUAGACGACCUGAGAGGGUAAUCGGCCACACUGGGACUGAGAAACGGCCCAGACGCCGACGGGAGGAAGCAGUAGGGAAUCGUCGGCAAUGGACGAAAGUCUGACCGAGCACCGCGGCGGGAGUGAAGAAGGUUUUCGGAUCGAAAAACUCUGGUGUUAGAGAAGCGGUAUCUAACCAGAAAGCCACGGCUAACGACGUGCCAGCAGCCGCGGUAAUAC
rnacentral:rRNA from 1 species